rnacentral:lncRNA from 1 species
UAAACAUAAGAGAAAUGUUUUUCCAUGUUUAGUUAUAUCAGUUGAAUAUCCAAAGCGCGUGCACAUUUACUUGUAGGACAACAGUAUGGUUUUAGUCAUAAAUUUCUUUGUGCACUGUAGCAACUUCUUACGCCUUAUAUUGUGUAGAACCACUGGAAGCGGAACCUUUUCCUUUUCCUUUUCGGACAUAUCCACUUGAAGUUUUAUUUUUGUCACUCUAUUCUUGCAGGACAGGCAUAUCAUGUCACGGCGGCACGGUUGAUGUUGUAGAUAUUUGUUUUUGUUUGUAGUCCCUCAAUUUGUUGUAUCUUAAGGUUUGUUUGUUCUUUUAAAUUAUUAUAUGGGUUGUUAAUGAUGCAAAUGUACAUAGAGGUUUAUUCAGUGCUUGUAAUCAUAUGUUUGUCUUAAACGGGGGGGGGGGGGGGGGGUGUGCAGAUUAAUUUCUUAUCUGGUUCAAUCAGCAUUAAAAGUAAUAUGCCAAGUAUGUUCUGCAGAUUAAUUCUUAUAUGCAGUUUUAUUUUGCGGGAAUUUCUUAUCUGUAGUCCUGUCAGCA